UCUACCCUCGAGCGAUCGUCUUCACUUGCGAUAGACGUUCACUCGAGAGGUUUAUACAUUCAUGUACUAAACAAUCCACGCUCAAAAACUUUUCAAUAAACUCAAUUAUAUUUUCUGCAUAAUAA